rnacentral:rRNA from 1 species
CGGCGGACGGGUGAGUAACACGUGGAUAACCUACCUAUAAGACUGGGAUAACUUCGGGAAACCGGAGCUAAUACCGGAUAAUAUAUUGAACCGCAUGGUUCAAUAGUGAAAGACGGUUUUGCUGUCACUUAUAGAUGGAUCCGCGCCGCAUUAGCUAGUUGGUAAGGUAACGGCUUACCAAGGCAACGAUGCGUAGCCGACCUGAGAGGGUGAUCGGCCACACUGGGACUGAGACACGGUCCAG